rnacentral:rRNA from 1 species
UACGUAGGGGCCGAGCGUUAUCCGGAUUUACUGGGCGUAAAGCGCAUGUAGGCGGCUUGUUAAGUCGGACGUGAAAGCUCCUGGCUCAACUAGGAGAGGCCGUUCGAUACUAACAAACUUGAGGGUGGUAGAGGAGAGUGGAAUUCCCGGUGUAGUGGUGAAAUGCGUAGAUAUCGGGAGGAACACCAGUGGCGAAAGCGGCUCUCUGGGCCAUUCCUGACGCUGAGAUGCGAAAGCCAGGGGAGAGAAC